rnacentral:rRNA from 1 species
UAAUACAGAGGUCUCAAGCGUUGUUCGGAUUCAUUGGGCGUAAAGGGUGCGUAGGUGGUGAUGCAAGUCUGGUGUGAAAUCUCGGAGCUCAACUCCAAAUUGCACCGGAUACUGCGUGACUCAGGACUGUAGAGGAGAUCGGAAUUCACGGUGUAGCAGUGAAAUGCGUAAUAUCGUGAGGAAGACCAGUUGCGAAGGCGGAUCUCUGGGCAGUUCCUGACACUGAGGCACGAAGGCCAGGGGAGCAAACGGGAUUAGAUACCCCGGUAGUCCUGGCAGUAAACGGUGCACGUUUGGUGUGGGCGGGUUCAGACCCCGUCCGUGCCGGAGCUAACGCGUUAAACGUGCCGCCUGGGAAGUACGGUCGCAAGAU